CAACCUUUAAGUAUGAUAUGCAGCUUUUAUUUUACUACCAAAUUAGACCAGUCCACAUCCCAUUGACACAUGUUUAGCAGUGGCCCAUAAAGUUCCUUAAAGGAACCAAUACUUUACAUAUUGCAAAGACUGAUUACAUUUUUCUACAAUUUCCUGACAGAAACAAUGAACCAUGAUUUAUUUUUUAAGAGUACAUUGAUUUGAAACCUUCUGUUAGAGGAACAACUUUUGCUGACACCUUGGAUUGCAACUUCGAUACAGCUUGACGGAUGUCCUCUAUACUGUAACGAGAAGAAAAAUGAGUCAACAUGACAGCUUUAUUCCGAAUCCAUUCAGCAUUUUUGAUAAUCUCGUACAAAUGAGUAUGACCAUGUUUUUGUGCAUGUUCUAUGCUGAAACCAUCAUCAAGGAAAGUUGCCUCAGUUAUGAGAAUUUUUGCUCUCAAUGCAUCUGCAUUACGUGGAUCAAGCAUGUACUCUGCUGUGGUAUCUCCAGUAAAGGCCACCUCUGGGGACAAUAUUAUAUCUGUAAUCUCAACACCUGACUUCUUCAAUUUCUCAAUCUGUUUCCCUUUGAGAUGAAUAUACUGCUUCUUCAACUUUUUUCUAAUAGAAUAGAUAACAUAACCCUGACUAGGUAUAACAUGCUGGGUUCGAAAUGGUCGAACUACAAUAUCAUUCCGCAAUUCAUAUGUUUCACCCACAUCCAAUGCAACCAAAUCAAGAUUCAAUUCCACUUGCCCCAUGGCCCGGUGGAUAUCAAAAAGCUUCUCAACAUCCUGUUUGAUGCAAGGGGGCACAAAUAUAGUCGGAGGUUUUAAGUUGUACAAACCACGACUAGCCACAUACAUUGGCAGCCCACCAAUGUGAUCGAGGUGGGCAUGAGUAAUGAACACAAAGUUCUGGUGAAUUGCCCUUGUUGGACAUCUCCCAAUAUCAAAAGCACACUUGAACUCCGGUAUAAUUAAACAGGUCUCUUGGCCCCCAAUAGAGAUUCCCUCGAUUGAGUAACCUUCCAAGUCGACUCCUUUACGGGUGACUGCGGCACGGGCCUUUUUGUAUUCCUCUUCUUCCUCAAUUACACGACUUAUUGCCGAUAAAUAACCGGAGGAUUGGAGGGGAGUUGAAUUUAUGGGUCUUUUGGGAUGGGUUUGGAGAGGAAAUUGAUGGUAGGUUGGUGGUGCUGCUGGUUUAGGGGAAAUGGGAUGGUUGUAUGGGAAAAUUGAUGGGAUUUUUGGGGGUGAUAUGGGUAAAGAAAUUUGCAUUUUUGGGGAGCGGUGGUUUUGAAUUGAAACAAGAUUGCAUUAAGAGAGGUUUUAGGGAGGUUUUCCUUUUUCUUUACACUUUAUGUAUCACAACAGCAGAGAUAUUCACGCUACACCAUGC
rnacentral:misc_RNA from 1 species